rnacentral:rRNA from 1 species
UACGUAGGGUGCAAGCGUUAAUCGGAAUUACUGGGCGUAAAGCGUGCGCAGGCGGUUUUGUAAGUCUGUCGUGAAAUCCCCGGGCUCAACCUGGGAAUUCGCGAUGGAGACUGCAAGGCUAGAAUCUGGCAGAGGGGGGUAGAAUUCCACGUGUGAGCAGUGAAAUGCGUAGAGAUGUGGAGGAACACCGAUGGCGAAGGCAGCCCCCUGGGUCAAGAUUGACGCUCCAUGCACGAAAGCGUGGGGAGCAAACAGG